rnacentral:rRNA from 1 species
ACUCAAAGGAAUUGACGGGGACCCGCACAAGCAGCGGAGCAUGUGGUUUAAUUCGAAGCAACGCGAAGAACCUUACCAGGACUUGACAUCCUUCUGACAGGACCUUAACCGGUCCCUCCUUCGGGCAGAAGAGACAGGUGGUGCAUGGUUGUCGUCAGCUCGUGUCGUGAGAUGUUGGGUUAAGUCCCGCAACGAGCGCAACCCUUGUCAUUAGUUGCCAUCAUUAAGUUGGGCACUCUAAUGAGACUGCCGGGGAUAACUCGGAGGAAGGUGGGGAUGACGUCAAAUCAUCAUGCCCCUUAUGUCCUGGGCUACACACGUGCUACAAUGGCUGGUACAAAGAGACGCAAGACCGCGAGGUGGAGCAAAUCUUCAAAACCAGUCCCAGUUCGGAUUGUAGGCUGAAACUCGCCUGCAUGAAGUCGGAGUUGCUAGUAAUCGUGAAUCAGAAUGUCACGGUGAAUGCGUUCCCGGGUCUUGCACACACCGCCCGU